rnacentral:rRNA from 1 species
AACGAACGCUGGCGGCAGGCUUAACACAUGCAAGUCGAACGCCCCGCAAGGGGAGUGGCAGACGGGUGAGUAACGCGUGGGAAUCUACCGUACCCUACGGAACAACAGUUGGAAACGACUGCUAAUACCGUAUACGCCCUUAGGGGGAAAGAUUUAUCGGGGUAUGAUGAGCCCGCGUUGGAUUAGCUAGUUGGUGGGGUAAAGGCCUACCAAGGCGACGAUCCAUAGCUGGUCUGAGAGGAUGAUCAGCCACAUUGGGACUGAGACACGGCCCAAACUCCUACGGGAGGCAGCAGUGGGGAAUAUUGGACAAUGGGCGCAAGCCUGAUCCAGCCAUGCCGCGUGAGUGAUGAAGGUCUUAGGAUUGUAAAGCUCUUUCACCGAUGAAGAUAAUGACGGUAGUCGGAGAAGAAGCCCCGGCUAACUUCGUGCCAGCCGCCGCAGUAA